rnacentral:rRNA from 1 species
GUCGAACGAGAAACGGGCUUCGGCCCGUGGACAGUGGCGAAAGGGUGAGUAACGCGUUCCUUACGUACCCCGAGGUGGAGGAUAGGUCGGAGAAAUUCGGCGUAAUACUCCAUAUCUUCUCCGGAAGAAAGGUUUCGGCCGCCUCGGGAGCGGGGAGCGUCCCAUCAGGUUGUUGGUGAGGUAAAGGCUCACCAAGCCAAAGACGGGUAGCGGGUGUGAGAGCAUGGCCCGCCACAUCGGGACUGAGACACUGCCCGGACUCCUACGGGAGGCUGCAGCGACGAAUAUUCCGCAAUGCGCGAAAGCGUGACGGAGCAAUGCCGCGUGCAGGAUGAAGCGGCUUCGCCGUGUAAACUGCUGUCAGGGUGCAGGAAUACUGACCAUACCCAAAGGAAGGACCGGCUAACCUCGUGCCAGCAGCCGCGGUAAUACGAGGGGUCCAAGCGUUAAUCGGAAUCACUGGGCUUAAAGGGUACGUAGGCGGCCCUGUAAGCAUCUCGUGAAAUCCCACGGCUCAACCGUGGAAUUGCGGAGUGAACUGCAGGGCUUGAGGCAGGUAGAGGUCGUCGGAACGAUCGGUGGAGCGGUGAAAUGCGUUGAUAUCGAUCGGAACGCCGAUGGGGAAGUCAGGCGACUGGGCCUGUCCUGACGCUGAGGUACGAAAGCGUGGGUAGCGAACGGGAUUAGAUACCCCGGUAGUCCACGCCCUAAACGAUGUGCACUAGAUCGAGGCGGCUCUGACGUCGUCUCGGCCGAAGCGAAAGCGUUAAGUGCACCGCCUGGGGAGUACGGUCGCAAGGCUAAAACUCAAAGGAAUUGACGGGGGCUCACACAAGCGGUGGAGCAUGUGGCUUAAUUCGAAGCAACGCGAAGAACCUUAUCCUGGGCUUGACAUGUAUGGAUUAGCUCUGUGAAAGCAGAGUGA